ACGGGAGGCAGCAGUGGGGGACAUUGCACAAUGGGCGAAAGCCUGAUGCAGCGACGCCGCGUGAGUGAAGAAGUAUUUCGGUAUGUAAAGCUCUAUCAGCAGGGAAGAAAAAUGACGGUACCUGACUAAGAAGCACCGGCUAAAUACGUGCCAGCAGCCGCGGUAAUACGUAUGGUGCAAGCGUUAUCCGGAUUUACUGGGUGUAAAGGGAGCGCAGGCGGUACGGCAAGUCUGAUGUGAAAGCCCGGGGCUCAACCCCGGUACUGCAUUGGAAACUGUCGAACUAGAGUGUCGGAGGGGUAAGCGGAAUUCCUAGUGUAGCGGUGAAAUGCGUAGAUAUUAGGAGGAACACCAGUGGCGAAGGCGGCUUACUGGACGAUAACUGACGCUGAGGCUCGAAAGUGCGGGGAUCGAACAGGAUUAGAUACCCUGGUA
rnacentral:rRNA from 1 species